AAAAUAACUAUGAUUCCCCUAGUAACGGCGAGUGAAGCGGGAAUAGCUCAAAGUGAAAAUCGCGUGCCCAUAUUGGUCCCGCGAGUUGUAGCCUCGAGAGGCGUUACCAGUGGAGGGGCAGGUCCAAGUUUCUUGGAACAGAACUUCAGAGAGGGUGACAGUCCCGUCCUUUGUCCUGCUUUUUGUCUCCACGUACGGUGCGCUUUUAUUGAGUCGCGUUCAUUGGGAUUUGAGCGCAAAAUGUGUGAUAAGUUUCACAUAAAGCUAAAUAUUGGCGCGAGACCGAUAGCGAACAAGUACUGUGAAGGAAAGAUGAAAAGGACUUUGGAAAGAGAGUUAAAAGUGCCUGAAAUUGCUGGAAGGGAAGCGAUUGAAACUUUUGUAUCCCUUAGGUGCCCCUGGGCGUUUGUCGUCUGCGCUCCUAGUUUCUGUUAUAAGAGCUGGUUGCGUUUGUAUUGCUUUCUCCCAGUCGAUCCUUUGGGUUUGGUCAGCAUCAGCAGAUUGGUGACUAUCCUCCCUAAGGAAGGUAGGCCUCUUGUGGGCUGUUAUAGCCUUGGGUUACUGUUCACCAAUCUGCUGAGGUGUGUUCUCGCCCGUUCGCUGGCUCCACUUUCGAGUACCAGCGUUCUGCGAUGCUGUCUCUAACGGUUUCAACCGACCCGUCUUGAAAC
rnacentral:rRNA from 1 species